rnacentral:sRNA from 1 species
UACGAGUGAGCCCACCAAAAUAUUCCUAC